AUUGAACGCUGGCGGCAGGCCUAACACAUGCAAGUCGAGCGAGCGGCGGACGGGUGAGUAAUGUAUGGGGACUGCCCGAUAGAGGGGGAUAACUACUGGAAACGGUAGCUAAUACCGCAUACUAUCGGAUAACCCAUAUGGGAUUUGCUAGUAGGUGAGGUAAUGGCUCACCUAGGCGACGAUCCCUAGCUGGUCUGAGAGGAUGAUCAGCCCCACGGGGAAUGAGACACGGCCCAGACUCCUACGGAGGCAGCAGGGGGGAAGAUGGCACAAUGGGCGAAAGCCUGAUGCAGCCAUGCCGCGUGUAUGAAGAAGGCCAUAAGGUUGUAAAGUACUUUCAGUCGGGAGGCGUUACCUAUAGAAGAAGCACCGGCUAACGCCGUGCCAGCAGCCGCGGUAAUUC
rnacentral:rRNA from 1 species